rnacentral:lncRNA from 1 species
UUCUUCCAUUACCAGUAGACCAUUUUAGUUGAAUCCAUGCUUCUUCAAUCCAAUCUUUUAGGCCAAAAUCAAAUGCAUAAAGGGCCUAUUGACCUAUUAAAAUAUCAUAGUUAGUGGCAUUAGUCAUUGCACACUUUAAAAAUAAGUAUGAAUAAAAUGGAACAGAUGCACUACAAAAUAUUAAUUACAAAGAUUUCUUAGUGUAACUAGUAGCUUGCUCCGUACCUCCUUCUAGAAUAAAAAUGGUAAAUAAAUAAGGUUUUAGAUCUGUAGAAGUGAGACCUAAUUCUUGAGCAACUUACUUAUCAAUUAUAACUGGAUGAACUCUAAAAUCUAGCAUAACAUGCAAAGAUGUAAUAUAAGUAGUAUUGCUAUUAGUAUGGCUAACAGUUAUCU